rnacentral:rRNA from 1 species
UACAGAGGGUGCGAGCGUUAAUCGGAAUUACUGGGCGUAAAGCGUGCGCAGACGGUUGCGUAAGUCAGAUGUGAAAGCCCCGGGCUCAACCUGGGAAUUGCAUUUGAGACUGCGUAGCUAGGGUGCGGAAGAGGGAAGCGGAAUUUCCGGUGUAGAGGUGAAAUUCGUAGAUAUCGGGAGGAACACCGGUGGCGAAGGCGGCGAUCUGGGUAGAUACUGACGCUGAGGUGCGAAAGCGUGGGGAGCAAACAGGG